CCCGCUGAACUUAAGCAUAUCAAUAAGCGGUGGAAAAGAAACUAACAAGGAUUCCCCUAGUAACUGCGAGUGAAGCGGGAAAAGCUCAAAUUUAAAAUCUGGCGGUCUUUGGCUGUCCGAGUUGUAAUCUAGAGAAGUGUUAUCCGCGCUGGACCGUGUACAAGUCUCCUGGAAUGGAGCAUCAUAGAGGGUGAGAAUCCCGUCUUUGACAUGGACUGCCAGGGCUUUGAGAUGCGCUCUCAAAGAGUCGAGUUGUUUGGGAAUGCAGCUCAAAAUGGGUGGUAAAUUCCAUCUAAAGCUAAAUAUUGGCGAGAGACCGAUAGCGAACAAGUACCGUGAGGGAAAGAUGAAAAGAACUUUGGAAAGAGAGUUAAACAGUCCGUGAAAUUGCUGAAAGGGAAACGCUUGAAGUCAGUUGUGUCGUCCAAGGAUCAACCUUGCUUUUGCUUGGAGCACUUUCUGUUCCGAUGGUUAGGCUUCAUUUUUGAUUGUUGUAAAAAGGUCAAGGGAAUGUGGAACCUUUGGUUGUGUUAUAGCCUUGGGUCACAUACAAUGGUCGGAUUUGAGGAACUCACCACGCCGCAAGCCCGGGUUUUAAACCAGGUACGUGCUUAGGAUGCUGGCAAUAUGGCUUUAAUCGACCUGUCUUGAAACACGG
rnacentral:rRNA from 1 species